UCUAGAGGGAUGAAAUCAUGCUCCUCCGGCACGGGGUCUGGGAGCUGGCCAGGAGGGCUGGGCGGGCCGGGGCAGCACUAGACCCUCGGCCAGCCAUGAUCCGUGGGGAUCUGAGUCUGGCCCUGGGCACAGCCAUGUGGAAGAAGAGGCAUGCAGGGAGAGAGCACCAUAACUGAGCCGGGGCCGGCGGGAGUGUGCCGCUGACCGAGGGGAGUGUGCUGCAGGUCUCUGGCAUUGCCCUGCCCUGACUCCUGAGGGCUCCAUGAAGCAGGGCCUUGCAGGGUGUCCCAGCCAGAUGUCAGACCUGGGGGGGGGGGUCACUGGAUGCACAGGAGCACCUCGGAGGCAUGGGGUAGGGAGGGACUUGUGAGGACACCGCUCUGUGGAAGUCUCAUUUGCUUAGACUGCAACCUGGCCCUCUGGCUCAGGUGACCUGGCCUCUUGCUGGCCAGGCCGCCGUGAUCUUCAGGAGUAGAGGUCUGACACGCACCUGGAAGGCGGACUCUCUUGGCGGUGGCUCUGGACUUCGGGCCCUCCGGGUGCAAUCUGUCUUCCGUCCACGGUGCCUGAACUCACUCUCCCUGGCAGUGCUCCGGGCAGGACAGAUGUGGCCACCUCUCCUGCUGCCCAGAUCACAUUCCUGGCCCUGGAUUAAAGCAGUCUUGCAACAACAGAAUGGCCUCUACUCCAACCACCCUUGCACAGCCCAGUGGAGGACAUCUGGUAACAGGGCUGCCUUCUCCUGUGGAAUGGCCGACGCAGUCUGAGAUGUUCCCUGGGCAACGUCUCCACGGCUCAUGCCUGGACUUUGAAGAUUCUGGGGAGUCUGAGACGCUGUAGAAGAUGAGACGGCCCCGUCUCCUCCUCCAGCUCUGCCCUGCUUCUAUGUGGGGCUCUGAGUGUUGGAAGGGGGGGAGGGGCAGUGUGGGCAGAAAAGCCAGCAGCCCCGCUCUGGAGAACUUAUGCACUUUGGCAGGAGGGGAAAACAUGAGGGGAGUUCCUGCCUGCUGCCAACCCUUAAGUGUCACUGCUCUGGGGACCUGCAUGGGCUGGGAGGUCAGAGGUCAGCGGAGGGGCGGCACCGGGCGUGAGGAGAGGCCGGGCGGUCC